GGAAUUGCUGCCAAGGAUUGGGAAUCAGUUGCCAGAAAGGAGAAGAUAGAGGUUGGACCUGAUUUUGUUGCCCUUUCAGCUUCAGAUCUUUGCUUGUAAGAUAAUUGUCUGGGGACCUGAUUCUGCCCCUUUCAGCUUCUGAUCUUUGCUUGUAACAUAAUUUGUCUGAAACUAAAGUGUGCUCAUUUGAAGAAAGUGCAAACCCAUUAGGGAGAAAAGGGGACUAAACUUUAGGAAUUGGAAGCAUGAUUUACAAACGAGUUAAAAUGGCUAUAGCUUAGUAGAAAUAGAAAUUUCUGACCAAAGCUUGUGUUUUAACUUGCUUAAGCUUGGGCUGUAUAGGUGUUAUCUCUACCUGUGCAAUUGAUACUUCCCUAAAGGAUUAUAUGUUGGC
rnacentral:lncRNA from 1 species